GUCGGUAUCGAUUAGGGGUUAAAUCACCUCGUUGUGGUCGUAGCAUUGUGCUGGGAUACCGAGGAGCCAUAGGUUCGAUUCCUGUUACCGACA